rnacentral:rRNA from 1 species
CAGAGGUCUCAAGGCGUUGUUCGGAUUCAUUGGGCGUAAAAGGGUGCGUAGGUGGCGCCGUAAGUCAGGUGUGAAAUCUCGGGGCUCAACCCCGAAACUGCACUUGAUACUGCGGUGCUCGAGUACUGGAGAGGAGAUUGGAAUUUACGGUGUAGCAGUGAAAUGCGUAGAUAUCGUAAGGAAGACCAGUGGCGAAGGCGAAUCUCUGGACAGUUACUGACACGUGAGGCACGAAGGCCACGGGGAGCAAACGGGAUUAGAUACCCCGGUAGUCCUGGCAGUAAACGGUGCGCGUUUGGUGUGGGAGGAUUCGACCCCUUCUGUGCCGGAGCUAACGCGUUAAACGCGGCCGCCUGGGGAGUACGGUCGCAAAGAUUAA